ensembl:snoRNA
AGGUCAUUGCAAAGAGGGCUUGUGGGGCUGUGAAACCGGGGGCUUUUAAUGUACUGACCAAAGACGGAUGUUCUCCAUGAGAAGCUGUAGUCACAAUCAUGACACAAUUGAUGAUUGGUGAUGUGGGA